GACGGGGGGCGGGGCCAGCAAGAUGGCGGCGUCGUGUGAGCAUCUGAAAGCACUCCAUUGAGAGUUGUGGGUUAAAUCCCAUGACAGUCUGUACUGGCUGUGGCAAAUCGCUCUGGGAAGCUGAGGCAGAAAGAAUUGGAGGGAGCUGGCUGAGUUCGUAAAGGAAAUCUCUGCUGGAAGUGGGAUUGGAGCACAGUUUCCUGAUGCCCAGGGCUGUACUGCAUAGCAGGAAUACAAAGGUCUGCUCUGCUUGCAUUUAGCCCGUUGAAAACUGAGAUGUACGCUCGGAUGACGCAUCAGGAAGAAGAGCACAUCUCCAUGUACAUCUUCGACAGCAAAGCACUGGAGCCUGGGAAACUGUUGUUUGUUGUUGUAAAUUAUCUUCCCCACUUCCAGCUGGACUUGGACUUUAUAUGAAGAAUAUGUAACUGUUGGAUGCAGAAGUACAGCAGUGAGGGGAUUGUCUGCCCUACUGUGGGAAUGUGAUGUUCUGAUGCCCACGGCUGCAAUGUGCUUUGUGGUCUCUUGGGUUGCACAGCAUUAGCAAUAGCAGUGAGAGAUACGGUGGUGUGAGUCUGAGUUGGCAGCUUUCUUUGCAAUUAUGAAAUGAGCGCAUGAUGAAUUUUUGAAGAGAUGAGUAACUUGACUUUGUAUCAUAUCCAUGCUAACAGAUUUUCUUAGAGAAGGAUGUGUUUUUCUCUUAUUUUGAGCAGAAAUACAACAUACAGACAUAUUUCAGUGUCAGGUUUAUGUUUAAGUGUAGGUAAUGCAGAAAAAGUCCAACAUGCAUGGUGUAUAUAAUACUUCCUUGGAAUUAAAUGUGGUUUGGGCAAAG